GUUGCUAGGAUUACAGGCAUGUGCCACUGCACUUGGCCCAACCUAUAGGCUUCUGAUAGUAGUGUUUAUGUGACCUUGCAAAAGUGACUUAGCUCUCUGAGCUUCACUUUCCUAUCUGUAAAAUGGAGAUAGAGGACUUAAUAGGUUGGUUAAAGGCUUUGGUAAUGUAUAUAAAGCUGUUAGCACAGUGCCUAGACACAUUUUUAUUACUAAUAGUAUUUUACACAAUGAUUUUUUUUUUUUUUUUAAAGCAGGAAAUAGUUGACAAAUACUUUAGAGUCAGCACAGUUGUCAUUGUGUCCAAAUGAUAGAAACAGCCCUGGUGGUGAGAGCCAGCACAUAGGAGGAAGUUACAACAAAAGCAAGGCACUGUCCUGCCUAAUGGAAAAUUUGUACACAGCAGGAGUUCCAUUCAGAAUCCCAGAAUUUUUGGGGGGAUGGACCUUAGUCUCAACACCAUCAGUAAAGUGAGUUGAAUGAGCAGUUUCCCAGUAAAUUUCACCUGUGACUAAUCAUACCUCCUUAUUUGUCUGGGGCCAUUUAUUGAUAUUGUCACCUUUGAGGCCCUGCAUCUUUGUAAAGUGCCUCUUGAAUUUUUUAGAUUGCUUUUACCACCACUGCAGGAAGUUUUUCAGAUAGUAUUCAUUUCCUUGCUACCAUGUGAGGAAACUGAGGCCCAUCAAGGUUAAGUGAGUUGCCCAAAGUCAUACUGUGACUUACUGUUAAAGCUAGCGCACAUUUGCCUCCAGAUGAAAUUGCGUUUGUUUAUUGCUGUGAUUUCUCUUUCCUUGAGUGGGAGAUGUGUAGUCAUUGCAGAACUGCAGUCUGAUACAUGCCUUGUCCAUAUCUUUGAGGCUUCAUUUGAGUCCUACUGUAUCUCUUUGGUUCGUUUGGGUUUUAAUGUUUGAUGACUGCUAGGACCAGACCUGUUGGGAAGCAGAUUCCCUUUGGGUUGUUGUUUUUAGCCUUUUCUCCUUUGGGGACAUUCCUUGGGGAGCCUUGGGUUACAAGAGAUUGCUUUGAUAUGUUCAAAAUUGUGCCUUGUGCCCCACAGCUACAGGUAAAAUCAAAAGGCAGAUAAUUUAUGGGAGUGUCAAAGCUGGCCGCUGGCACCUCGGGAGGCCAUUAGUAUGCCUGUUCAGACCCUCUGUGUCCUUGCAAUUGAUUCCUCUUUGCAUGAGCCUGAUUUGGGAAGCUGUAGAUCUGUGGGUAGUGAUUGGAUGUGACAGUCCAAACACCGGUCCCUAAAUUAAUCCUUUUAAUGGUAUUCUGGCACCAAGGCAAUUUCUCUUUCUCUCUCUCUCUCAACUGGGGAGGACAGAAUGGGGUGGACUGGGAGAAGAAUAGAAAGGAAGGAAGGAAAGAAAGAAAGAAAGAACCUUUGUUUGGUGCCUGGGUCAUGCUCUGUUUUGGCAUGUUCUAAUUCCAGAGCAGUGGACUUUGGGCAUAUUAAUUCAUUCAGCAAACUCAUACUUAACUUUGUGCCUGACCCUGUGCUGGAUACUGGGAAUACAGAAAUGAACAAAAUGUAGUCCUUGCACCUAAGGGUCUAACUCAGUGUUUCUCAAGCUUUUAAAACUCUUUCACCAUUUAGAUUUAAAAAAUAAAUCUCACUGGGCGCGGUGUACACAUCUGUAAUCCCAGUGGCUAGGGAGACUGAGACAGGAGGAUCACGAAAUCAAAGCCAGCCUCAGCAAUUUAGUGAGGCGCCAAGCAACUCAGUGAGACCCUAUUUCUAAAUAAAAUUCAAAAUAGGGCUGGGGAUGUAACUCAGUAGUCGAGUGCCCCUAAAUUCAAUCCCUGGUACCAUAAAUAAACAAACAAAUAAGUAAAUAAAUAAAUCUCAUGCCCUUCUUUAAUGCUGUAUAUGAAAUUUUAAAAUACAUGAAGGAGUCUCAAAGUCAAGGCAUUAGCAUAUCUGAUAUGCUUUCUUUUUACAUAAACAUGCACACAUAUGCCUAUAUAUAGCUAUUUUCUAUUCUUAACUCCUUGAAAAUCAUUACUAGAAGGAAAACAGAUACCUAACAUAGAGAAAAGUUACAAAAUAAGAAUAAACUGCGUUACUGAAUAAUAAGCAAUUAACUUUCUGAUGGGUUAUCAGAGCUAUUAAAAGAGGGAGAUUUGAACUGGGUUUUGGAGAAGGGUUGAUAAUUUGCCUAGUGAAAAAUAGAGGGGCAUUCCAAUAUAGAGGGAGUAGCAUUUGCAAAAGUUCAGAUUUGGAAAAGGAAAUGUCACAUUUGGGGACCUGGGCAAGAGCUGAUUGUAACCUUCCUCCUGCCAGUUUCUCACUCUGUAAGGUGGGAAGAUUUGCACCUCUGGAAUUGUAUUUGAGAAGGAGCUUUGAGUUCUCCAUUGUGUUUUAAUUCAAGACAUCCCUUCCUGUUCCUACUUUUGUGCUCAGGGCUGUAAUUUGUUUUUCUUUUUAAAAUUAUUAUGAAAUCAAAUUUGGUUGAUUUAGGUUUAAUCACUGCCUAAGUUUGAGUUACUUCUGGUUAAAAUCACACCUUACUUAAAAAGAAAAAUUGGGGCUGGGGCAGUGGUAGAGUGUUGCCUAGCAUGCACAAAGCCCUGGGUUCAAUUCCCGGCACCAAAAAAAAAAAAAAAGUUAGAUUUUUCUGGGCAUGGUGGUGCACAUCUGUAAUCCCAGCAGUUUGGGAGUCUGAGGCAGAAGGAUUGCAAAUUCAAAGCCAGCCUCAGCAACUUAGUGAGGCCCUAAGAGACCUAGGGAGACCCUGUCUCAUAAUAAAAAGACCUGGGGAUGUGGCUCAGUGGAAAAGUACCUUGGAUUCAACAGCUGGUACAAAAAAAAAAAAAAAAAAAAGAUAAAGAAAGAAAGAAAAAUUAAAAUUGAUAUGCAUUGUUAGCCCUGUGACCGAUGGAGAAUCUGUCAAGUGUGGAAAUGUGGGCCAUCAAACAUGGUAGAGGAAACUAAGAGUACCCAAAGAGUUUGGUACCUUUUAUCCUUAGUUUCCUCAGGUGUAAAAUGGAAAUAGUGUUAACUAUUUUUGCUUGACAUUUGGUAGGAUUAAAUGAGAUUAAGAUCUAUAAAUCACCAACACAGAAAAUGGUGUUUCCCUUUCCUCUUUCUCAUGUUUUAACUGUAGCUCCCUUUUAUUGAGCACUUACUAUCAUGCAGAGCAUUGUACGUACAUUAUUUGAUUGAAUUGAACCCAAGAUAUUGGUAUUAUUUUAGCUAUUAUUACAAAGAAUAUGCAGUAGAGUCAGGAUUUGAACCUAGAUUUUUCUGACCCAAGUGUUUUAACAACUAGAUUGUAUGGCUGUGCUUCAACACCAGUUCUCCAUCUUGAAAGCAAGAGCCUAGAAAAUAUUUAAACAGUAUGAUCAUCCCUUUAAGUACCUCCCAUCCUAUAGACAAUAUCUACAGAACAGCAAUAUC
rnacentral:lncRNA from 1 species